rnacentral:rRNA from 1 species
UCUAGUGGCGCACGGGUGCGUAACGCGUGGGAAUCUGCCCUUGGGUUCGGAAUAACAUCUGGAAACGGAUGCUAAUACCGGAUGAUGACGUAAGUCCAAAGAUUUAUCGCCCAAGGAUGAGCCCGCGUAGGAUUAGCUAGUUGGUGAGGUAAAGGCUCACCAAGGCUACGAUCCUUAGCUGGUCUGAGAGGAUGAUCAGCCACACUGGGACUGAGACACGGCCCAGACUCCUACGGGAGGCAGCAGUAGGGAAUAUUGGACAAUGGGGGCAACCCUGAUCCAGCAAUGCCGCGUGAGUGAUGAAGGCCUUAGGGUUGUAAAGCUCUUUUACCCGAGAUGAUAAUGACAGUAUCGGGAGAAUAAGCUCCGGCUAACUCCGUGCCAGCAGCCGCGGUAAUACGGAGGGAGCUAGCGUUGUUCGGAAUUACUGGGCGUAAAGCGCACGUAGGCGGUUAUUUAAGUCAGAGGUGAAAGCCCGGGGCUCAACCCCGGAACUGCCUUUGAGACUGGAUAACUUGAAUCCAGGAGAGGUGAGUGGAAUUCCGAGUGUAGAGGUGAAAUUCGUAGAUAUUCGGAAGAACACCAGUGGCGAAGGCGGCUCACUGGACUGGUAUUGACGCUGAGGUGCGAAAGCGUGGGGAGCAAA